rnacentral:tRNA from 1 species
UGAAUUAUAGCUUAAUUAAAGUUUUUGAUUGUUACUCAAAAGAUAUAUUUUUUUAUUUUUUCAG